CUGAAGGAUUGAUAUAUUUAUUUGGGCACUAUAUAAUGGUUUAAAAUUCAUAUUUUUGUCACAGGGCUGACAAUCAAACAACACCUUUUUUGUUUAUGACAUCCACUGCUUCGUCGCCGAAAAGUAACCUAACUGCCUAAAUGAUUAGAAUAUUCAGGUUUCAUGUCUUUUCGAGCGGACCUUUUCUGAUAAACCCUUUCCCAAUGUACGUCAUCUGAGGUUAGAAUACGGAGCUCAUUCGGCACGCGGUUUAUGACGAAAGAAGCGAAGUGAUUUGUUCUAAAAAUAGUACUGCAGACAACAAGUGGAUAUCCCUUUUCGGUUAUAUGAACAUCUUUCGGUAAGAUCUGGGUCAACAAAUCACGCUAUCCGGUCUGUUCCUUGCAGUCUCAUUGUGUUAGUCUAUAUCAGGGAUUUCAAAGAUCUAUCAUGUCUCAUUGUGUCUCCACUUCACUUUUAUUUUUCGUCUUCAAAAUACAACAGUUUGAACAUGGUCAGUGAAAUGAGAACUGAUACCCGCUUGUAAUCACGGUGCAUAUUCAUGUUAUUUAAUUGACCAUGUUAUUUUUACCGUCUUAUUUUUAUUACUGAAUGUAUAUAAGCUCUUAAUUACGAUGGUCACUUUCUUUUCCAUAUCACUCGACAGACCCCCACAUACCCUGGUUUCCCAUUGCUAAAGUAUUUUUAUGCUUUCUCUCAAAUAAUUAUUUCCCUAAAAAUUAUUUUAGCUAUAAGAUAUGUUUUACCAGGUCAUCAUCUUUUAAUAAAAAAUGUAGAUAAACAUUUCAAUCUCUUUUGCGGAAAAAUAAUGUAACUAUUAUGAGACCAAUAUGUUAACCAUCAAACAUUGAUUUGUGACCUUUUCCGAUAGCCAUAGUUAAUAAAUAAACUGUUGGAUAAAAAUAUCUUCAUAAGUGAAAUGAAUCAACUAUCAUAAUUCUACUCUAGAAAAUAGGAUUUUAGUUCAUGGCCACCUCGUUACAUCAUUUUUUGUAGUUGGAAUUAAAGCAAUUACACUUCAAUUACAUUACGUAUUUUUGAAGUGCGUCGCAUUCAUCAAAGCAAAUAAAGCAAGCGUCACUGUAUGGACCGAAAGAACAAUAAUUGCGAGAAAGACAAGGGCACAUGCAUUUUAGUGAGUUAUCAGAACACUGAAAUAUUACACGCAGACCUUGUGUGAUAUAGCUUAACUUUAUUUUAUGAAUAGUUUAUAAUUAUGAACGCAUUGCUUUGAAAUUAGGAAGACAUCAAAUAAAAAAUUAGUGACAUAAAUAUAGGCCUAGAUAAAAAAAUCACAAGAGAAAUGGUUUAUCGUAUAUGAAGGUACACAUUGAUUUAAUAUUCAAUCUCCCUGUAUAUACUUAUGCUGGGAUGGAUUCCCACUUGGUGCGCUAUAGUAUCAUUUGGUAAAGCAUUAAAUCUUCAUUAUCAGGUCCCUCGGAGUGGACCUUUAUCCUUCUGUCCUCUGGUUGCUUGCGUACAAGCAUUUAUGCUUUCUUAGCAAUCAGGUAAAAAUCACCACACCACAAUCACAUCAUAUGACAGCAAUGUAUAAUAUAAAUUAAUCCGUUUAUCACUGUCGUCUUUCAACAUCAUUUCCUUGAUUCCUUCUAUUUUCAUAUUGCAUGGUAAACGUUUAAGCCAACACUAAAUAAUCUAUUCAGAACUCAUUAUAAUGGCAGUUGUCGUUAACCUUUGGAAUAGAUGAAGCUAAUUCGAUACAUCCAUUAUCAUUGCCAGCAUUGUCCUAAGACAGUUACCAUGCAUUUUUCAUCAUACCGUUGAUAUCAUAAAAUGUAAUGGAAUUUAGAAAUGUCCUACAUGUAUGAUUCAACAGGUUUGAAGCAUGGGUGUCAGACGCAGUACUGAGUUGACGCCCAAACUAGUGGAAAUCUAUUUGCACCAUAAGUCAAUUAACAUUGGUGAUAACAGGGCGCGAGCAUUCAUAUCAAAUAUUUGCCGCAAGCUUUUGUUCCGGCCAAUCCAGUAAAAACACUCGAUAUCAUUUUCACUCCUCCUCCCUUCCCCAUCUCCUUCUAUCUCUCUCGUUUCAUUCAACCACGUUAAUCUCUCUUCAUCAUUGUAUGUGACUAUAGAAUCUAUGCCACCAAUUAGUAUCCCGGUCGACAAUUGCAUGCAGUCACAGCCAUAUAGACCGAGAAUCGAUUUUGGAUAAUGGAGAAUUUAUAUUUGCCUUUAUCUUUGCACUGUACUGUUUGCCAUUAUAACCCCGGUUACACAAACCAGCAAACACGAUCAUGGCACAUUAACCAACUGAUAUCUUCAUUGUUCAUGUGAAGUGUGAAGGUGAUGAUCGUUCAAAAUACGAUGGCGUUGUCUCAAUGUGUAUUCUUUAUGUAGUUAUUUACAUUGACAUCAUUCUAAAAAAUGUAUAGUUUCAUUCUUUUCGUUUUCGAUCUUAUAUACUGUCAGAUUUGUUAGUGUGACUAUGAUAUUGUGUGUGGGUUAUCUAGUCGGAUACAAACUCGUAGAAUGUAAUGAAGUGACAUGGGUGUAUGGAUACAAUGUGUGCAGGAACUAAUGAAAUAAUAAUUGGAUAGACAAUUCGAUUUUACAUUAAUAAGGUGAACUAUUAGAGAGUAUUUGAACGAGAGUUCAACAAGUAUUAACAUUAUUCAAUCUCUUUGUCGUAGGCAUAGUGUUUUCUAUUAGGAUUAUCCGCUGUACAUGGGCUUGGUUUUUUUUAGAAUAAAGAAAAAAGAUCUGUAUAUAAAUCAUAUCUAUAAAUGUUCUACUAAAACAAUGCGAAGAAAAAAACACGCUCUGUGUCAGAUUACUAUCAUUAUAUAAAUCUUUCUUUUCGCUAGAUUAUUAGAUUGUGUCAUUAAAUGAAGAUAGACUCUCUUUUUAGUAUUUUGACUUAGUCCUUGAUAAAAUAAUUGUAUAUCAUUAUCAUUUCCUUACUUGGUAAAAAAAAAUUUUAACUGAUCUCCUGCAGUUUUGAUCUUCACGUGCCAUGAUUGUUAGUUCUUUUUCGUCUUUGAAUAUUUAUGCACUUCCGUAUAAACAUGUUUAAAGAAACCACACUUGUUUUGUUACGCUUCCCGAGAUCCUCGUUGGAAAACAGCAGGUAGGUCUGUUUUUUUGCAUCAAACUAUACAGUCUGUUUCAAUAGUUCAUCAUAGGCACCUGCGUGUACGAUUGUAAAUGGUUAUUUUUGGCAUGUUUAUAUCAAACGCCAACGCUUUCUACAAACCAGAUCAGGAACAAAAUAUAUUCAUCGUUCGUGCUUUAAUUUAGUUUACAAGCCACACAUGAUACCUUCUGUGAUUUAUUACCAUGUCAGUAUGUGUUACUGGAAAGGAUAUCUAUUCAUUAUUUCAUCACCAUGGUAUUUAUAUCUAGCCCACACUGAUCCGAGUAAGAAGAUAAAUUGAAGAAAAAAAAUCUUGAUCAGUUUAUUGUAGUAUGAAUUACUCAAACAACGGUUUCAUUUACUUGAAGGAUAUCAAAGUCAAAGGAUGGGAAUAAUAACAGGGAAAAUGAAAAAAAAAACUAAAUUAUUUAAUAAGAAUGAAAGAAAGUAGAUAAAGAAAGAAGGCAAUGUGAAUAUGAAAAUAAUUCAAAAGUAAACAACAAAAGAAGAAGAACAAACAAACAAAACCCUCACUGUAAUAACUGGCUACCAAAAAGGAAAAAUGUCUCAAUCUCAUUAAGAAGUGUUCCAAACUUUGCUCAGAUAAAAUGCAAAACAAAUCGUCUUAGAAAAGGUGCAAUACCAUAUUUCAUUGAUUUACUAAAUUCUGAAUAAAUUUUUACUUUCAUAGCCUUGAAACCAACUCAAAUUUUUGCCAUUGUUUUAGUCUCCAUUUCAAUCCAAUUAAUAAUUGAAUUUUUGAU